GACGAACGCUGGCGGCGUGCCUAAUACAUGCAAGUUGAGCGCUGAAGGUUGGUACUUGUACCAACUGGAUGAGCAGCGAACGGGUGAGUAACGCGUGGGGAAUCUGCCUUUGAGCGGGGGACAACAUUUGGAAACGAAUGCUAAUACCGCAUAAAAACUUUAAACACAAGUUUUAAGUUUGAAAGAUGCAAUUGCAUCACUCAAAGAUGAUCCCGCGUUGUAUUAGCUAGUUGGUGAGGUAAAGGCUCACCAAGGCGAUGAUACAUAGCCGACCUGAGAGGGUGAUCGGCCACAUUGGGACUGAGACACGGCCCAAACUCCUACGGGAGGCAGCAGUAGGGAAUCUUCGGCAAUGGACGAAAGUCUGACCGAGCAACGCCGCGUGAGUGAAGGAGGUUUUCGGAUCGUAAAACUCUGCUGGUAGAGAAGAACGUUGGUGAGAGUGGAAAGCUCAUCAAGUGACGGUAACUACCCAGAAAGGGACGGCUAACUACGUG
rnacentral:rRNA from 1 species